rnacentral:rRNA from 1 species
AUUGAACGCUGGCGGCAUGCCUUACACAUGCAAGUCGAACGGUAACAGGUCUUCGGAUGCUGACGAGUGGCGAACGGGUGAGUAAUACAUCGGAACGUGCCCGAUCGUGGGGGACAACGAGGCGAAAGCUUUGCUAAUACCGCAUACGAUCUACGGAUGAAAGCGGGGGAUCUUCGGACCUCGCGCGGACGGAGCGGCCGAUGGCAGAUUAGGUAGUUGGUGGGAUAAAAGCUUACCAAGCCGACGAUCUGUAGCUGGUCUGAGAGGAUGAUCAGCCACACUGGGACUGAGACACGGCCCAGACUCCUACGGGAGGCAGCAGUGGGGAAUUUUGGACAAUGGGCGAAAGCCUGAUCCAGCCAUGCCGCGUGCAGGAUGAAGGCCUUCGGGUUGUAAACUGCUUUUGUACGGAACGAAAAGCCUCUUUCUAAUAAAGAGGGGUCAUGACGGUACCGUAAGAAUAAGCACCGGCUAACUACGUG